rnacentral:ncRNA from 2 species
CUCUUAUCAAGAGAGGCGGAGGGACUGGCCCUGUGAAGCCCGGCAACCCUAGCCCUUAGAGGCUAGAAGGUGCCAAAUCCUGCAGAAGUAAUUCUGGGAGAUAAGAG